UGGGGAAUAUUGGACAAUGGGCGCAAGCCUGAUCCAGCCAUGCCGCGUGAGUGAUGAAGGCCCUAGGGUUGUAAAGCUCUUUCACCGGUGAAGAUAAUGACGGUAACCGGAGAAGAAGCCCCGGCUAACUUCGUGCCAGCAGCCGCGGUAAUACGAAGGGGGCUAGCGUUGUUCGGAUUUACUGGGCGUAAAGCGCACGUAGGCGGACUUUUAAGUCAGGGGUGAAAUCCCGGGGCUCAACCCCGGAACUGCCUUUGAUACUGGAAGUCUUGAGUAUGGUAGAGGUGAGUGGAAUUCCGAGUGUGGAGGUGAAAUUCGUAGAUAUUCGGAGGAACACCAGUGGCGAAGGCGGCUCACUGGACCAUUACUGACGCUGAGGUGCGAAAGCGGGGGGAGCAAACAGG
rnacentral:rRNA from 1 species